CACGCGCCUAACGGCGUG
rnacentral:snRNA from 1 species